rnacentral:SRP_RNA from 1 species
AAUAAAAAGUGAGGCAAUAGUAAUUCUAUGAAGUGGGUCAGGUGCGGAAGCAAGCAGCCCUAAGUAGGGUUCCUAUGUGCCUUAUUUUUUUAGAUUAA